AGUGAACGCUGGCGGUAGGCCUAACACAUGCAAGUCGAACGGCAGCACAGGAGGGCUUGCUCUCUGGGUGGCGAGUGGCGGACGGGUGAGGAAUACAUCGGAAUCUACUCUGUCGUGGGGGAUAACGUAGGGAAACUUACGCUAAUACCGCAUACGACCUACGGGUGAAAGCAGGGGACCUUCGGGCCUUGCGCGAUUGAAUGAGCCGAUGUCGGAUUAGCUAGUUGGCGGGGUAAAGGCCCACCAAGGCGACGAUCCGUAGCUGGUCUGGGAGGAUGAUCAGCCACACUGGAACUGAGACACGGUCCAGACUCCUACGGGAGGCAGCAGUGGGGAAUAUUGGACAAUGGGGGCAAGCCUGAUCCAGCCAUACCGCGUGGGUGAAGAAGGCCUUCGGGUUGUAAAGCCCUUUUGUUGGGAAAGAAAUCCAGCUGGCUAAUACCCGGUUGGGAUGACGGUACCCAAAGAAUAAGCACCGGCUAACUUCGUGCCAGCCGCCGAAGUAA
rnacentral:rRNA from 1 species